AUACUUACCUUCCUUCUGUUAGAUACUGAAAUCACAGAAAAUAGAUGUACUAGAUGAUCAUCUUUGACAUCCACAAAGUUAAUUUGCAUGUAAUAUAAAUUUGUGCAUAUACUGUAAAUAUAUGUAUAAUACAUAUGUGCUUCUUCUCUAAUAGAUUUUAUAUAUUAUAUAUACUUUGCAAUUUUAAUGUUUAUGAUUUCAUUUCACCUAGCUGAUUAAACCUAGAAACAUUGUCAGGGUAUGAAACUGAGCUGACUUUACUUGCUCUGUGUUUUCUCUCUGAAAAGCCUUGAAAAUCUAAGAAUGACCUAGAAGACGCUGUUUGUGUGGAUUUGGGGGAGAGCAUUAAUAUAGCUCUUGAUGAGCUAAAUGAAGAAAGGAAUUGCAUGCUACACAGCCUUCUUUUUAUGGAUCAUAGCAGUGGCUCCUGGACUCCAGGUGUGAUGUUCAUCAUGCUACAGCUCUAUCACAUCCCUAUCUACUCUUAGGUCUGUUGCAGGAAUGGCUAGAAAAUAUUUUGAAAUCUUAUGGUUUCUCUGCUAUCAUCUGUGAAUAUCAAGUACAACUAGAAGUUUGCAGGAGCAGCACAGAAGGUAAUCUAUUUGGACUACUAUCGAGCACUUGACCUCGUUUUACCCUGG
rnacentral:lncRNA from 1 species